AUACGGAGGGUGCGAGCGUUAAUCGGAAUUACUGGGCGUAAAGCGCGCGUAGGCGGUUUGGUCAGUCGGAUGUGAAAGCCCCAGGCUCAACCUGGGAAUGGCAUUCGAUACUGCCUGACUAGAGUAUGGUAGAGGGAAGUGGAAUUUCCGGUGUAGCGGUGAAAUGCGUAGAUAUCGGAAGGAACACCAGUGGCGAAGGCGACUUCCUGGGCCAAUACUGACGCUGAGGUACGAAAGCGUGGGUAGCGAACAGGAUUAGAUACCCCAGUAGUCC
rnacentral:rRNA from 1 species